GGUCUUUGGCUCACAUCAAAGCAUUGGAUCUCCAUGAGCUUCUGUAUCACUCAGAUGGCCAGUGGAGGAGGCCUUCAUCUCCACCCAGAGAUUCACCCUCUGAGAAAUGGAUUUUCUGGUUAAUGGAAGGUGCAUGUGGUAUUAGUGUUCAGAGUGAUUGAUUGGACUUCCUGUAAAGCUGCUGCUCUCAGAUGGACAUUAGCUCCUGAAGCUCCUGCAGCAGAUUUAUGUUUAAAUUUAAUUUAAAGAUCAAUAUGAGACUUUAAUCCAUUAAACACAAGACGUUAAGUAACACACAGCGUUGUUACACACUCAGAUUGUUCUACACAGUCAGGCUGAAACAUGUAGCUCUGUGUUCUAUGUAGCUCUGUGUUUGUUCUAUGUAGCUCUGUGUUUGUUCUAUGUAGCUCUGUGUUUGUUCUGUGUAGCUCUGUGUUCUGUGUAGCUCUGUUUGUUCGUUCUAUGUAGCUCUGUGUUUGUUCUAUGUAGCUCUGUGUUUGUUCUAUGUAGCUCUGUGUUUGUUCUGUGUAGCUCUGUGUUCUGUGUAGCUCUGUUUGUUCGUUCUAUGUAGCUCUGUGUUUGUUCUGUGUAUCUCUGUGUUCUGUGUAGCUCUGUGUUCUAUGUAUCUCUCUGUUUGUUCUGUGUAGCUCUGUGUUUGUUCUGUGCAGCUCUGUGGUGUUCUGUGUAGCUCGGUGUUUGUUCUGUGUAGCUCUGUGUUUGUUCUGUGUAGCUCUGUGUUCUGUGUAGCUCUGUGUUCUAUGUAGCUCUCUGUUUGUUCUGUGUAGCUCUGUGUUUGUUCUGUGCAGCUCUGUUUGUUCUGUGUAGCUCUGUGGUGUUCUGUGUAGCUCUGUGGUGUUCUGUGUAGCUCUGUGUUUGUUCUGUGUAGCUCUGUGUUUGUUCUGUGUAGCUCUGUGUUUGUUCUGUGUAGCUCUGUGUUCUAUGUAGCUCUGUGUUCUAUGUAGCUCUGUGUUCUAUGUAGCUCUGUGUUUGUUCUGUGUAGCUCUGUGUUUGUUCUGUGUAGCUCUGUGGUGUUCAGUGUAGCUCUGUGGUGUUCAGUGUAGCUCUGUGUUUGUUCUAUGUAGCUCUGUGUUUGUUCUAUGUAGCUAUGUGUUUGUUCUGUGUAGCUCUGUGUUCUAUGUAGCUCUGUGUUUGUUCUGUGUAGCUCUGUGUUUGUUCUAUGUAGCUCUGUGUUUGUUCUAUGUAGCUCUGUGUUUGUUCUGUGUAGCUCUGUGUUUGUUCUGUGUAGCUCUGUGUUUGUUCUGUGUAGCUCUGUGUUCUGUGUAGCUCUGUGUUCUAUGUAGCUCUGUGUUUGUUCUGUGUAGCUCUGUGUUCUGUGUAGCUCUGUUUGUUCGUUCUAUGUAGCUCUGUGUUUGUUCUAUGUAGCUCUGUGUUUGUUCUAUGUAGCUCUGUGUUUGUUCUGUGUAGCUCUGUGUUCUGUGUAGCUCUGUUUGUUCGUUCUAUGUAGCUCUGUGUUUGUUCUGUGUAUCUCUGUGUUCUGUGUAGCUCUGUGUUCUAUGUAUCUCUCUGUUUGUUCUGUGUAGCUCUGUGUUUGUUCUGUGCAGCUCUGUGGUGUUCUGUGUAGCUCGGUGUUUGUUCUGUGUAGCUCUGUGUUUGUUCUGUGUAGCUCUGUGUUCUGUGUAGCUCUGUGUUCUAUGUAGCUCUCUGUUUGUUCUGUGUAGCUCUGUGUUUGUUCUGUGCAGCUCUGUUUGUUCUGUGUAGCUCUGUGGUGUUCUGUGUAGCUCUGUGGUGUUCUGUGUAGCUCUGUGUUUGUUCUGUGUAGCUCUGUGUUUGUUCUGUGUAGCUCUGUGUUUGUUCUGUGUAGCUCUGUGUUUGUUCUGUGUAGCUCUGUGUUCUAUGUAGCUCUGUGUUCUAUGUAGCUCUGUGUUCUAUGUAGCUCUGUGUUUGUUCUGUGUAGCUCUGUGUUUGUUCUGUGUAGCUCUGUGUUUGUUCUGUGUAGCUCUGUGGUGUUCAGUGUAGCUCUGUGGUGUUCAGUGUAGCUCUGUGUUUGUUCUAUGUAGCUCUGUGUUUGUUCUGUGUAGCUCUGUGUUCUAUGUAGCUCUGUGUUUGUUCUGUGUAGCUCUGUGUUUGUUCUAUGUAGCUCUGUGUUUGUUCUAUGUAGCUCUGUGUUUGUUCUGUGUAGCUCUGUGUUUGUUCUGUGUAGCUCUGUGUUUGUUCUGUGUAGCUCUGUGUUCUGUGUAGCUCUGUUUGUUCGUUCUAUGUAGCUCUGUGUUUGUUCUGUGUAGCUCUGUGUUCUAUGUAGCUCUGUGUUCUAUGUAGCUCUGUGUUUGUUCUGUGUAGCUCUGUGUUUGUUCUGUGUAGCUCUGUUUGUACUGUGUAGCUCUGUGGUGUUCUGUGUAGCUCUGUGUUUGUUCUGUGUAGCUCUGUGUUUGUUCUAUGUAGCUCUGUGGUGUUCUAUGUAGCUUUGUGCAGAGCUACAUAGAAGCUCUGUGGUGUUCUGUGUAGCUCUGUGGUGUUCUGUGUAGCUCUGUGUUUGUUCUGUGUAGCUCUGUGUUUGUUCUAUGUAGCUCUGUGUUUGUUCUAUGUAGCUCUGUGUUUGUUCUAUGUAGCUCUGUGUUUGUUCUGUGUAGCUCUGUGUUUGUUCUGUGUAGCUCUGUGUUCUGUGUAGCUCUGUUUGUUCGUUCUAUGUAGCUCUGUGUUUGUUCUGUGUAGCUCUGUGUUCUAUGUAGCUCUGUGUUCUAUGUAGCUCUGUGUUUGUUCUGUGUAGCUUUGUGUUUGUUCUGUGUAGCUCUGUGGUGUUCUGUGUAGCUCUGUGUUUGUUCUAUGUAGCUCUGUGGUGUUCUGUGUAGCUCUGUGUUUGUUCUAUGUAGCUCUGUUUGUUCUAUGUAGCUCUGUUUGUUCUAUGUAGCUCUGUGGUGUUCUAUGUAGCUUUGUGCAGAGCUACAUAGAAGCUCUGUGGUGUUCUGUGUAGCUAUGUGUUUGUACUGUGUAGCUCUGUGUUUGUUCUAUGUAGCUCUGUGGUGUUCUGUGUAGCUCUGUGUUUGUUCUUUGUAGCUCUGUGGUGUUCUGUGUAGCUCUGUGUUUGUUCUGUGUAGCUCUGUGUUUGUUCUAUGUAGCUCUGUUUGUUCUAUGUAGCUCUGUGGUGUUCUAUGUAGUUCUGUGGUGUUCUAUGUAGCUUUGUGCAGAGCUACAUAGAAGCUCUGUGGUGUUCUGUGUAGCUAUGUGUUUGUUCUGUGUAGCUCUGUGUUUGUUCUAUGUAGCACUGUGGUGUUCUGUGUAGCUCUGUGUUUGUUCUGUGUAGCUCUGUGUUUGUUCUAUGUAGCUCUGUGGUGUUCUGUGUAGCUCUGUGUUUGUUCUUUGUAGCUCUGUGGUGUUCUGUGUAGCUCUGUGUUUGUUCUGUGUAGCUCUGUGUUUGUUCUGUGUAGCUCUGUGUUUGUUCUGUGUAGCUCUGUGUUUGUUCUGUGUAGCUCUGUGUUUGUUCUGUGUAGCUCUGUGUUUGUUCUGUGUAGCUCUGUGUUUGUUCUGUGUAGCUCUGUGUUUGUUCUGUGUAGCUCUGUGGUGUUCUGUGUAGCUAUGUGUUUGUUCUAUCUUGCUCUGUGGUGUUUUAUGUAGCUCUGUGGUGUUCUGUGUAGCUCUGUGGUCCUGGAGAAACAUCUCAAUUUCAAUGUCUACUGUGUCAGAUAUGGUUAAAAUCUACUUAGAGACUCCUAGAUAAACACACACACACUCACGCACACACACAUCCUCAGAGACUUUUGGAGACUCUUUCACCACAUCUUUCUCACACACACACACACACACACACACACACACACACACACACACACACAGUGCUCUCUGCUUGCCUUUAGUAUUCUUUUAAUAUGUGCUUGUGUGUGUUAUUAACCCCAUUCUGCCCCUUCUUUCAUAUGCUGAUGUACCCACUGUUGAGAGCUUUGAGUGUACACGGCUAAAAAAAAACAGCUUCCCACUGACACAUGCGCACACACACACACACACACACACACACACACACUGUGUUUAUCUUGGCUGUUGUCCAUCUCUGCAGUGUUUAAAGAUGAUUAAAGAUCAAUAAAGUGUGUGUGUUUCUUCCA